rnacentral:rRNA from 1 species
UACGUAGGUGACAAGCGUUUGUCCGGAUUUACUGGGCGUAAAGAGCGCGCAGGCGGUCGAUCAAGUCGAGUGUGAAAGCCCCCGGCUCAACUGGGGAGGGUCACGCGAUACUGAUCGACUCGAAGGGCAGGAGAGGGAAGUGGAAUUCCCGGUGUAGUGGUGAAAUGCGUGAGAUAUCGGGAGGAACACCAGUGGCGGAAGGC